GUGCAUGAGCAAUAUGAGGCCUGGCUUUCGCGGCCGGCUGAAGUAUUUUUUUCACCCAUGUCUUUUGCGCACUUGUUGUUUCCUGGGCGGGUUCGCCCGCCACCAGGACCAAACCAUAAACCUUUUUUUCUUAUGCAGUUUCCAUCAGCGUCAGUAAAAACAAUGUAAUUAUUACAACUUUCAACAACGGAUCUCUUGGUUCUGGCAUCGAUGAAGAACGCAGCGAAAUGCGAUACGUAGUGUGAAUUGCAGAAUUCAGUGAAUCAUCGAAUCUUUGAACGCACAUUGCGCCCUUUGGUAUUCCAAAGGGCAUGCCUGUUCGAGCGUCAUUUGUACCUUCAAGCUUUGCUUGGUGUUGGGCGUUUUUUUGUCUCCCUCUUUCUGGGAGACUCGCCUUAAAACGAUUGGCAGCCGGCCUACUGGUUUCGGAGCGCAGCACAUUUUUUGCGCUUUGUAUCAGGAGAAAAGGACGGUACUCCAUCAAGACUCUACAUUUUUCACUUUUGACCUCGGAUCAGGUAGGGAUACCCGCUGAACUUAAGCAUAUCAAAGUGGGGAGGGAAUC
rnacentral:rRNA from 1 species